AAGAAGAAGAAAUUGGAAAGGGGAACUACGAGAUGGGCCGAAAAUGUCAUCGUUCCUGGUCUCCACUAAGCCCAGUAGUCGAGGCUCAAUGGUCUAACCUAACCGGGCUGGGCUGCACCGACACAGCGCGACUCGCUCGAGGAACAGAACUCGUACAGUAGAGGAGUGUCUCUCCUUCCCCGCGCCGGAUCCACGCCGCCGUCGUCUCUCUCGCCGACGCGAUGCAGGUAUGCCCGCCGGCGUCGGAGUCUUCGGGCUGGGGGAGCCGCGCGUAGGUGCUACACGGGCUGGCCCUGGGUCUCGGCGGCGGCGGCCGCCUACCUGUACCGGAGGCCGCGCAGGUUCCGCACCCUGGCGGUGGCCGGCGUGCAUCAUACAGGCGCGGCACGCCUCCUCCCGCUUCGAGGGCAAGCCGCUCGCCUCAUCCUCGGCAAGCCCAUGAUACAGCACUUCUUUUUCGGGCCGCCGCCGCCGACUCAACUGUCCGUGCAGAACCUCCCUGCGGUGACCGCUCUCGAUAUGCGUCGGCGUCGGAUUAGAUUAUCGUGCAAGAGACGAGCAAAGGGGUUCAGGGCUGAUCGGCACUAUCCACCGUUUCUCGUGCACUGCACCACCGCGUGCUCUGACGCCAGCCACGUCCGUGGCCGCGGCUGCUAGCAUCGGCUCCGAGAUCAUUUUGAUUGAAUGUCUAAUUAUAUUGUUAUGUUUUGUAUAAACAUGAAUUUAACGCACGGGCCUGUGCUAGUCUUUUUUAAAACAAACAAGUUUAUUGGCUCUCGAUCGAUCGAACGAUCGAUGUUGACCGACUGUUUUGCUUGUUGGUCCAUACAUAUCAACCACCAGAACGAACAAGCCUGCUGGCUCUCUGUAUACACUCACCUACUGCCUUGCUUCUUGA